AUUGCUUCAUGGCCUUUUGGCUAAGAUCGAGUGUAGUGCCUGCUCUUAUCAGUUUAAUACCUAGGGAACUGGUAAAAAUCCUGUUUUUGAGUAUUUAGGUCAAACAGGACAGCUAAGAGAGAUACUCAGUUUACUAACUAGCUUGGGGGUAUUUAAAGUUCUUACUAAAGUCUGGGGAGAUAAGUCCCAAGGCCU